CGUGUAGGCGGGAAUGCAAGUUAAAUGUGAAAGCCCAAGGCUUAACCUUGGGACUGCAUCUAAAACUGCGUUUCUUGAGUGCUGGAGAGGAAAGCGGAAUUCCUAGUGUAGCGGUGAAAUGCGUAGAUAUUAGGAGGAACACCAGUGGCGAAGGCGGCUUUCUGGACAGUAACUGACGCUGAGGCGCGAAAGCGCGGGGAGCAAACAGGAUUAGAUACCCUGGUAGUCCGCGCUGUAAACGAUGGAUACUAGGUGUAGGGGGUAUCAAUUCCCUCUGUGCCGCAGUUAACACAAUAAGUAUCCCACCUGGGGAGUACGGCCGCAAGGUUGAA
rnacentral:rRNA from 1 species